ACACCAUUCUUUUAAUCUUAGUCUUAACUAAAUAAGUUAAAACAUUAUAUUCAAUCUUGGGAAGAUGAUAGUCAUACUUAUUUGAAAAUUAAUAUAGAGAUAGACAAUCCUUCCAUUAGUUAAGUAAUUUCAUGUGAACUUAAAUGCAACAUUAAAUGCUUAAUCUUUUGAUCUUACCACUCAUAAAUAAAUAAAUCAUGUAACACAACUUUAUCUUUUUUAAUAUGCCUAAGGAUGGAGAAAAUAAAUAAAUAAAUAAAGAAAUAGAUUUGGUUUUGUUGGUGUUUUUCCACCAGCAGAGCCCAUGCACUUGAUCUCUACCUUAAUUUUGCAAACAGGACGACACAUCAAGCAAAGUUUAUUAAUUCUACAAGUGAAAGUUCUGCUAGCAUGCACACUGAGCAAGAUGCUGCCAGCUACUAUUAAAACUAUCCUUCAACUUGCUGACCAAAUCAAAGAACAAAAGUGACAUUACCAUCACUAGAGGUAUGCAACCAUCAAGACCUCCAUCUCUCAAGAUGGAGAGAUACAUAAGAGUAGAAGAAGAAGACC
rnacentral:lncRNA from 1 species